rnacentral:rRNA from 1 species
AACGAACGCUGGCGGCAUGCCUAACACAUGCAAGUCGAACGAGACCUUCGGGUCUAGUGGCGCACGGGUGCGUAACGCGUGGGAAUCUGCCCUUGGGUUCGGAAUAACAGUUGGAAACGACUGCUAAUACCGGAUGAUGACGUAAGUCCAAAGAUUUAUCGCCCAGGGAUGAGCCCGCGUAGGAUUAGCUAGUUGGUGGGGUAAAGGCCUACCAAGGCGACGAUCCUUAGCUGGUCUGAGAGGAUGAUCAGCCACACUGGGACUGAGACACGGCCCAGACUCCUACGGGAGGCAGCAGUGGGGAAUAUGGGACAAUGGGCGAAAGCCUGAUCCAGCAAUGCCGCGUGAGUGAUGAAGGCCUUAGGGUUGUAAAGCUCUUUUACCCGGGAUGAUAAUGACAGUACCGGGAGAAUAAGCCCCGGCUAACUCCGU